rnacentral:rRNA from 1 species
CAGUCGCCGCGGGAAUACGAAGGGUGCAAGCGUUAAUCGGAAUUACUGGGCGUAAAGCGCGCGUAGGCGGUUACUCAAGUCAGAGGUGAAAGCCCGGGGCUCAACCCCGGAACUGCCUUUGAAACUAGGUGACUAGAAUCUUGGAGAGGUCAGUGGAAUUCCGAGUGUAGAGGUGAAAUUCGUAGAUAUUCGGAAGAACACCAGUGGCGAAGGCGACUGACUGGACAAGUAUUGACGCUGAGGUGCGAAAGCGUGGGGAGCAAACAGGAUUAGAUACCCCUGUAGUCCCUGUCUCUUAUAA